rnacentral:rRNA from 1 species
UACGUAGGGUGCGAGCGUUAAUCGGAAUUACUGGGCGUAAAGCGUGCGCAGGCGGUGAUGUAAGACAGAUGUGAAAUCCCCGGGCUUAACCUGGGAACUGCAUUUGUGACUGCAUUGCUGGAGUGCGGCAGAGGGGGAUGGAAUUCCGCGUGUAGCAGUGAAAUGCGUAGAUAUGCGGAGGAACACCGAUGGCGAAGGCAAUCCCCUGGGCCUGCACUGACGCUCAUGCACGAAAGCGUGGGGAGCAAACAGG